rnacentral:misc_RNA from 1 species
CCUUAUUUAUCUUGCGGGAUGGCCAUCUAGAGAUCCCAUGUUGUCUGCAUAUCCUUUUCAGUGUUGUGGGGCAAACACCAAUGCUUUUGGCAGCAUCCUUGAGACUUCCAGAAAAGUAUUGCUGAAGGACGCUCAAGCUCACAUUUUUCUCUGCUGUACUCCUCUUCUUCUCCAGCUGCCUCCUUGAUCUAUUCAUCACCUGUUCAUGAGGACCAUCUGAUUCCAUUCCAUCAUAUUUGGACCCAGCUGCAUCGGAAGGUAUUUUGUCGGUCAAAUUUAAGUUGGCCGCAGAUAAUGUGGUUUGAGAGUUACUCAUUGAAACAGACAUUGGUGGAAAGCUGGUUAUUGCUCCCUUCUGAGACUCAACUUUAGAACCUUCUCCCCCUGCUAACUCUGCAUCUGAAACUGUUCUCAAACUUUUACAGAUUCUCUGCAUGGUACCUGAGAGGUUGUUCAACAAAAGUUGCUGUUCCGAACUCCCCUUCAUAUUGACAGGAAGAAAGAACUCUAAUAUAUAAUCGUCAUCACCAGUAUAAGUGCUUCUUAGCCUGAUUGCAACUGCAGCAUUCAGACCAUACUUGCGUGCAUGAUGGACAAGUGGGUAUUCAAUUAUAUCAUACGCCUUCACGUCAGGGAAGAAGAAAGGGUGAUUUGAUUGAAGUGCUUUUCCAGCUAUACCUUGUCCUUCCUCAAUAUAAUGUUCUGAACAUGCAUGUACAAAUCCUUGCAUUUCUCUAUCAUUCACAUAACAAGCUGUACCCUCAAUGCAUAGCACAAAUUUCCCAGUAGACCUUGAAUUACCUUCCCUGACACGCACUUUAAUUAUUUCAUCAACAGCUUCCUCCAUAUAAUUGCAAGGAAUCCAUGUUAGAGCUAGUGGUAAGCUAUGUGCAUGACAUACAGCUCGUAAAACAUCAGUUAUUUCCGUUAAGGCAGCUCUUUGAUUCCCUGAGAGGCUCUGAGGAAGAAGUCGAGGAGGUGCAGUGGUUCUUAAAUUUACAGCCUGGAGGGCGAGGCAAACAUUUUCCAUUUCUGAAUCAAAAUUAGGUUUCUCCUUAAUUGUGACAAGUUCCAGUACAGCACAACAGGACAUCUCAGGAGGUUCAAAGAUCGGCAAGGCAAUAGAUCCUUGGACCUUAUGGUGGCGUGCGUGCUUUGCUCGCAAGUACUCAGUAUUCCUAUAAUAAACUACAUUUGAAGUCCAUUCUGGAACUUUAGAGAUGAACACACGACCAGGAAGGCCUAGGGGAAGGUCAGGCUUCACUUCUGCAGAGAAUGUAUAUGUCCUCGAAACUUCACGAUAACCUGCCAGAAUUUGGUCAAGUAAGUACGGUU